UACGUAGGGGGCAAGCGUUGUCCGGAAUCAUUGGGCGUAAAGCGCGUGUAGGCGGCCCGGUAAGUCCGCUGUGAAAGUCGGGGGCUCAACCCUCGAAUGCCGGUGGAUACUGUCGGGCUAGAGUGCGGAAGAGGCGAGUGGAAUUCCUGGUGUAGCGGUGAAAUGCGCAGAUAUCAGGAGGAACACCGAUUGCGAAGGCAGCUCGCUGGGACGUAACUGACGCUGAGAACGCGAAAGCGUGGGGAGCAAACAGG
rnacentral:rRNA from 1 species